rnacentral:rRNA from 1 species
CAACAGGGAUUGCCUCAGUAACGGCGAGUGAAGCGGCAAAAGCUCAAAUUUGAAAUCCCCCCGGGGAGUUGUAAUUUGAAGAUUGCGUCUUGGAGGCGACCGUGUCUAUGUUCCUUGGAACAGGACGUCACAGAGGGUGAGAAUCCCGUGCGGCACGGCCCCCGGCUCCUUAUAAGGCGCUCUCGACGAGUCGAGUUGUUUGGGAAUGCAGCUCAAAGUGGGUGGUAAAUUCCAUCUAAAGCUAAAUACAGGCGAGAGACCGAUAGCGAACAAGUACAGUGAUGGAAAGAUGAAAAGCACUUUGAAAAGAGAGUGAAACAGCACGUGAAAUUGUUGAAAGGGAAGGGCAUGCCGUCAGAUUGUCAGUGUGGGUAAGAAGCGGGGUACAAAGACUGUGGAACGUGGCCCUCGGGUGUUAUAGCCGCAGUUCAUGCCCCGUCUCUUUCCGAGGCCUGCUUUGAGGACACCGACGUAAUGACGGUACGCCGCCCGUCUUGAAACACGGACCA